rnacentral:rRNA from 1 species
UACGGAGGGUGCAAGCGUUAUCCGGAUUCACUGGGUUUAAAGGGUGCGUAGGUGGGAAUGUAAGUCAGUGGUGAAAUCUCCGUGCUUAACAUGGAAACUGCCAUUGAUACUAUGUUUCUUGAAUUUUCUGGAGGUCAGCGGGAUAUGUCAUGUAGCGGUGAAAUGCUUAGAUAUGACAUAGAACACCAAUUGCGAAGGCAGCUGACUACAGGGAUAUUGACACUGAGGCACGAAAGCGUGGGGAUCAAACAGG